rnacentral:lncRNA from 1 species
AUGGAUUUGAGAAUUAAAUAAUUUUGGUUCCAUUUUCCUCUAAGAAUUUUUAUUAUGUGCCUUGGUUUUGGCUGUCAACAUUGGAAUCAAAUUCUUACUGGGAUUUUUUUAACAUGGAAGAGAAGUAUCCACUUAAUUCUACCUUUUAUAUAUAGCGAAUAUCUUCAUGCAAUUCAGAAUUCAGAAUUUUGAAUUCCAAUUUCAGAAUUCAGCUAGGUAGUUCAGAAUUCAGCCAGGCCAUUCGGAAUUCCAUGAAGAAUGUGAAGCGGUUGCUCUUGAAUGUAAUCAGAAUUUAGCUUUCCUAUUCUUAUGCUACGAUGACCUUCCCCUUGAAUGUCAGAUGGUUGCGAUGAUUGAGAGAGAUGCGGAUCUUCUUGGUUGGUGAUGGGUGUACUUUGGAUGGCCUAUUCUUUAGGCAACCAGUUGCUCUUAUUUGUAUUCGGAAUACUGUCGAUGUGCAUGUGGGUUCUUAUGUAGUUAGCUCUCCUAUUCUUAUGCUAUGAUGACCUUCCCCUUGAAUGUCAGAUGGUUGCGAUGAUUGAGAGAGAUGCGGACCUUCUUGGUUGGUGAUGGGUGUACUUUGGAUGGCCUAUUCUUUAGGCAACCAGUUGCUCUUAUUUGUAUUCGGAAUACUGUCGAUGUGCAUGUGAGUUCUUAUGUAGUUAGCUCUCCUAUUCUUAUGCUAUGAUGACCUUCCCCUUGAAUGUCAGAUGGUUGCGAUGAUUGAGAGAGAUGCGGACCUUCUUGGUUGGUGACGGGUGUACUUUGGAUGGCCUAUUCUUUAGGCAACCAGUUGUUCUUAUUUGUAUUCGGAAUACUGUCGAUGUGCAUGUGGGUUCUUAUGUAGUUAGCUUUCCUAUUCUUAUGCUAUGAUGACCUUCCCCUUGAAUGUCAGAUGGUUGCGAUGAUUGAGAGAGAUGUGGACCUUCUUGGUUGGUGAUGGGUGUACUUUGGAUGGCCUAUUCUUUAGGCAACCAGUUGCUCUUAUUUGUAUUCGGAAUGCUGUCGAUGUGCAUGUCAGUUCUUAUGUAGUUAGCAAUUAAUGCCUAGGGGAGUCUGAGCAAAGUAUUUUUG